rnacentral:lncRNA from 1 species
GUUGUUCAGCCUACAGGCGCUCGGAAGUGUUGGGUGAGGGCGUGAGGCGCUCCGAUCAGUUGUUACUCACGCCUUGUUCAGUUCUAUUUUUUUUUUGGUUUUUGGGACUAUAAUACUUUUGUUUUUAUUUGAUAAAUAUUGUCCAAUCAUAAAGUAACUAGACUUAAAAGAUUCAUCUCGCUAUUUAUAGGUAAACUGUGUAAUUAGUUUUUAUUUUUGUCUAUAUUUAGUGCUUUAUGUAUGUGCCGCAAGAUUUGAUGUGAAAGAGAAUUUUAAAAAGUUUUUGGUUUUUAAGGUAACUAAGGCCUCGGGAGGACUAUCACUGUCAGAGGACUAUCACUGUCACAGAGGCUGCGUUGUCGCCAGACAGUUCCCAGUAGCCAGAGAGCGGCAGUGCAGAAGCAGUGGGCCGAAGAGCAAGCCAAGUGAUUGAGUAUAGGCCAAAUGAUUAGAGCAAGUUUGUUGUCAACAAAAAAUUAGAGCAAGUUUAAUAAUAUAACCUACUUGCUGUCUGUAAGGUUCUUUACAUCUUUCUACUAGUCUAAAUGUUGUAAGGAAAAAUAAAAAAGAGAAGAUAUCUUAAAGACAUAUAUAAAAUAACUUAUUGUAUACCUUAAGUCUAAUCACUUGGCUUAGUCAAAUACUUGUCUCUUUAUUGACCUUGCUCUCAUCCAUCGUCAACAUGUAGCCCACCCACCAUCCA